ensembl:Mt_tRNA
GGCCCUGUAGUGAAGUUCAUAGUGAGUUGCAAGCUCAUUGAUGUGUGCUGGUUGCGCACCGGGGUCU